GAGUUUGAUCGUGGCUCAGAUUGAACGCUGGCGACAUGCCUUACACAUGCAAGUCGAACGGCAGCAUGAUCUAGCUUGCUAGAUUGAUGGCGAGUGGCGAACGGGUGAGUAAUACAUCGGAACGUGCCCUGUAGUGGGGGAUAACUAGUCGAAAGAUUAGCUAAUACCGCAUACGACCUGAGGGUGAAAGUGGGGGACCGCAAGGCCUCAUGCUAUAGGAGCGGCCGAUGUCUGAUUAGCUAGUUGGUGGGGUAAAGGCCCACCAAGGCGACGAUCAGUAGCUGGUCUGAGAGGACGAUCAGCCACACUGGGACUGAGACACGGCCCAGACUCCUACGGGAGGCAGCAGUGGGGAAUUUUGGACAAUGGGCGAAAGCCUGAUCCAGCAAUGCCGCGUGUGUGAAGAAGGCCUCGG
rnacentral:rRNA from 1 species